rnacentral:lncRNA from 1 species
GUGUGUGUGUGUCUGGUGUGUGUGUGUGUGUGUGUGUUCUUCUGUUGGAGGUGUUCUAGAAACAGCAGCUCGGACUGUCAGAGCGGUCUGAUUGGUGAGGGGGGGGGGGGGGAAAACUUAGCUGUUAUUGGCAGAGAGAUUUCAAACCUCUCUUAUUGGUCUAUUAACCUAAUUAUGAUGUCACAAGGCAGGCCAAAAAAACUCCGCCCCAACCAAAAAACAGGAUUGAAAUUUCAGAGGGGUCUUUUCAAAUAACUCUUCCCACUAAAAUGACAUUAUCAAUUUCACAGUAUUAUUCCAACCUCAUAGCGUGGAAAUAUAUCAAUCACAGGAACGUUUUUUCACUGCCCUGGGCCUUUAAAAGAAGUUUAAUAAAAAAGUGACGAAUGUAAUAUUGUGUGGUAAAAAAAAAAAUGUUCUGUUGAAUUCUGUGUAAUUAUGAAUUUUGAUUUAAAAGAGAUGUUUUGAUUUGUAAAAUUCAUUUGAUCUGAAUUGAGAUGGAGAAAUAAAAAAAUAAAACGUUGAUUACCCCUAAAAAAAAUACUGAAAGGUUGAAUAAAAUGACAGAUAAAACUCGGUUCUGUUAUACUGCAGGUCUUUAUGUUCAGAUAAAAGGGGAGGUUUCCUUUAUGUUCAGAUAAAAGGGGAGGUUUCCUUUAUGUCCAGAUAAAAGGGGAGGUUUCCUUUAUGUCCAGAUAAAAGGGGAGGUUUCCUUUAUGUCCAGAUAAAAGGGGAGGUUUCCUUUAUGUCCAGAUAAAAGGGGAGGUUUCCUUUAUGUUCAGAUAAAAGGGGAGGUUUUCCUUUAUGUUCAGAUAAAAGGGGAGGUUUCAGUAUGCAGAUCAGGGACGAUAUACAGGACCAGUCAAAAUGUUGGACAACACCAACUCAAUCCAGGGUUUUUAUUUUAAUUGUAUUUUUCUACAUUGUAGAAUAAUAGUGACGACAUCAAAACUAUGAAAACAACCCCUAUUAAUAUAGAAUGUUCUCUGGGUUUAAUAGACAUAUUAAAAGAUUAGUCAUAUAACUUUUUUUAAAAUUAUUAUAAUUAUUAUUCCCUUUAAUGUGGCAUGAAACAGAACCAGUCCUGUUUUCAGCUGAUUGUCUAACAAUCCCUUCCCGAAAGAGAUCUGUCACACAAAACUAAAAACUAAAAAAGUGUGAUGUCAUUCAGUGAUUGUCAUUCGUAACCAUUCGGCUUGUAGCCUGAAUUGAUGCGUCCACUGCUGUAAACGCGCG